CUACGGGCGGCUCCAGUGAGGAAUAUUGGUCAAUGGGCGCGAGCCUGAACCAGCCAUCCCGCGUGCAGGAUGACGGCCCUAUGGGUUGUAAACUGCUUUUCUAUGCCAAGAAACCUGAUUACGUGUAAUCAGUUGCCGGUAGCAUAGGAAUAAGCAUCGGCUAACUCCGUGCCAGCAGCCGCGGUAAUACGGAGGAUGCAAGCGUUAUCCGGAUUCAUUGGGUUUAAAGGGUGCGCAGGUGGGCUUGUAAGUCAGUGGUGAAAUGCUGCCGCUUAACGGUAGAACUGCCAUUGAUACUGCGAGUCUUGAGUAUGGUUGAGGUAGGCGGAAUGUGUUGUGUAGCGGUGAAAUGCAUAGAUAUGACACAGAACGCCGAUUGCGAAGGCAGCUUACUAAGCCAUUAUUGACGCUGAGGCACGAAAGCGUGGGGAGCGAACAGGAUUAGAUACCCCAGUAGUC
rnacentral:rRNA from 1 species